rnacentral:rRNA from 1 species
UGGGGAAUAUUGCACAAUGGGCGCAAGCCUGAUGCAGCCAUGCCGCGUGUGUGAAGAAGGCCUUCGGGUUGUAAAGCACUUUCAGCGGGGAGGAAGGCGUUAAGGUUAAUAACCUUGGCGAUUGACGUUACCCGCAGAAGAAGCACCGGCUAACUCCGUGCCAGCAGCCGCGGUAAUACGGAGGGUGCAAGCGUUAAUCGGAAUUACUGGGCGUAAAGCGCACGCAGGCGGUCUGUAAAGUCGGAUGUGAAAUCCCCGGGCUCAACCUAGGAACUGCAUUCGAAACUGGCAGGCUAGAGUCUUGUAGAGGGGGGUAGAAUUCCAGGUGUAGCGGUGAAAUGCGUAGAGAUCUGGAGGAAUACCGGUGGCGAAGGCGGCCCCCUGGACAAAGACUGACGCUCAGGUGCGAAAGCGUGGGGAGCAAACAGG